GAUGAAGAACGUAGUGAAACGCGAAAGGUAAUGCGAAUUGCAGAAUUCAGUGAAUCAUCGAGUCUUUGAACGCACAUUGCGCCCCCUGGUAUUCCGGGGGGCAUGCCUGUCCGAGCGUCAUUGCUGCCCUCAAGCACGGCUUGUGUGUUGGGCCUCCGUCCUCCUCCCGGGGGACGGGCCCGAAAGGCAGCGGCGGCACCGCGUCCGGUCCUCGAGCGUAUGGGGCUUCGUCACCCGCUCUUGUAGGCCCGGCCGGCGCUUGCCGACACAUCAAUCUUUUUUCCAGGUUGACCUCGGAUCAGGUAGGGAUACCCGCUGAACUUAAGCAUAUCAAUAAGGGAGGA
rnacentral:misc_RNA from 1 species